rnacentral:rRNA from 1 species
UACGGAGGGAGCUAGCGUUGUUCGGAAUUACUGGGCGUAAAGCGCACGUAGGCGGCUCUUUAAGUCGGGGGUGAAAUCCUGGAGCUCAACUCCAGAACUGCCUUCGAUACUGAAGAGCUCGAGUCCGGGAGAGGUGAGUGGAACUGCGAGUGUAGAGGUGAAAUUCGUAGAUAUUCGCAAGAACACCAGUGGCGAAGGCGGCUCACUGGCCCGAUACUGACGCUGAGGCACGAAAGCGUGGGGAGCAAACAGG